UACGUAGGUGGCAAGCGUUACUCGGAAUUACUAGGCGUAAAGCGCAGGUAGGUGGUUGGAUAAGUCCGUAAUGAAAUCUCCCGGCUUAACUGGGAGAGGUUUGGGGAUACUGUCCGGCUCGAGUGUGGGAGAGGUGACUGGAAUUCCUGGUGUAGCGGUGAAAUGCGUAGAUAUCAGGAGGAACACCUAUGGCGAAAGCAGGUCACUGGCCCAAUACUGACGCUGAGCUGCGAAAGCUAGGGGAGCAAACAGG
rnacentral:rRNA from 1 species